UACGUAGGGUGCAAGCGUUAAUCGGAAUUACUGGGCGUAAAGCGUGCGCAGGCGGUUAUGUAAGACAGUUGUGAAAUCCCCGGGCUCAACCUGGGAACUGCAUCUGUGACUGCAUAGCUAGAGUACGGUAGAGGGGGAUGGAAUUCCGCGUGUAGCAGUGAAAUGCGUAGAUAUGCGGAGGAACACCGAUGGCGAAGGCAAUCCCCUGGACAUGUACUGACGCUCAUGCACGAAAGCGUGGGGAGCAAACAGG
rnacentral:rRNA from 1 species